GUGACCAAGAUGCAGUUUUCUGGAGGAAAGCGGAGGAAGCUGAGGUUGGCAGGAGACCAGAAGAAUGCUUGUUACCCGCAUAGUCUUCAGUUUUACCUGGAGCCACCUUCUGAAAACAUAUCUCUAAUAGAGUUUGAGAACUUGGCUAUUGAUAGACUUAAAUUGCUAAAAACAGUUGAAAAUCUUGGUGUGAGCUAUGUGAAAGGAACUGAGCAAUAUCAGAGUAAAUUGGAGACUGAAAUUCGAAAGCUCAAGUUUUCCUUCAGAGAAAACUUAGAAGAUGAAUAUGAACCACGAAGAAAGGAUCAUAUUUCUCAUUUUAUUUUGCGCCUUGCUUAUUGUCAGUCGUAAGUAUACAUUUAUACUCUCACUGUCAAAUUUGAUGUUUUGGGCUAUAAAUUGUUACAUGGGAAGUUGACAUACCGAACAUAGGAAAACUUGGGAACCAGUGUGUGAUAGGUUGAACAUUGUUGUAGUGAAGUGUUUGAAACAAGUUAUUUACUAAAAAAUACUGAAAAAUGUUUCUGUUGGUAAAUUUUGCCCAAUGAGACACUUAACUAUUAGAGUACUUCAUGUGGGAUUUAAAAUGAGAAGGGUGUCUUUAGGAAAAAGGACUUUUAUGUUUUUUCAAAAAAAAAAAGGUAAUAUUU
rnacentral:lncRNA from 1 species